AAUAGAUACUCUGGUAGUCCAUGCCGUAAACGUUGGGAACUAGAUGUAGGGCCUGUUCCACGGGUUCUGUGUCGUAGCUAACGCAUUAAGUUCCCCGCCUGGGGAGUACGGCCGCAAGGCUAAAACUCAAAGGAAUUGACGGGGGCCCGCACAAGCGGCGGAGCAUGCGGAUUAAUUCGAUGCAACGCGAAGAACCUUACCAAGGCUUGACAUAUAGCAGAACACCGUAGAAAUACGGGACUCUUUGGACACUGUUAUACAGGUGGUGCAUGGUUGUCGUCAGCUCGUGUCGUGAGAUGUUCGGUUAAGUCCGGCAACGAGCGCAACCCUCGUCCUAUGUUGCCAGCACGUUAUGGUGGGAACUCAUGGGAUACUGCCGUGGUCAACACGGAGGAAGGUGGGGAUGACGUCAAAUCAUCAUGCCCCUUAUGUCUUGGGCUUCACGCAUGCUACAAUGGCCGGUACAAUGGGCUGCGAUACCGUAAGGUGGAGCGAAUCCCAAAAAGCCGGUCUCAGUUCGGAUUGGGGU
rnacentral:rRNA from 1 species